CUACGGGUUGCUGCAGUAAGGAAUAUUGCGCAAUGGAGGCAACUCUGACGCAGCCAUGCCGCGUGCAGGAAGAAGGCCUUAUGGGUCGUAAACUGCUUUUAUUUAGGAAUAAACCCCCGAACGUGUUCGGGGCUGAAGGUACUAAACGAAUAAGCACCGGCUAACUGCGUGCCAGGCAGCCGCGGUAAUACGGAGGGUGCAAGCGUUAUCCGGAUUUAUUGGGUUUAAAGGGUGCGCAGGCGGGCUAUUAAGUCAGUGGUGAAAUCCCGGGGCUCAACUCCGGAACUGCCAUUGAUACUGAUAGUCUUGAGUUUGGUUGAAGUGGGCGGAAUGUAGCAUGUAGCGGUGAAAUGCAUAGAUAUGCUACAGAACACCAAUCGCGAAGGCAGCUCACUAAGCCAAAACUGACGCUCAUGCACGAAAGCGUGGGGAUCAAACAGGAUUAGAUACCCUCGUAGUC
rnacentral:rRNA from 1 species